rnacentral:tmRNA from 1 species
GGGGAUGAAAAAAGAUUCGACAGAAUAGUUUGCCCAAAACAUGCACGCCGGUUUUCCUUGUUUCCGCAAAAAACAAGGAAGGCAAUACAAAUGCCAAUAUACAAAAACAACCUGAGUUAGCAUACGCCUAACUCACAUCCCCUAUUCUGACUCCUGAUAGGAAUAUGGGGGUGUCAACCCAUCAGGAAAACGUAAACUCUUUCCCAUAGGGAGUUUACGUUUCAUAAAAAUAUGGGUAUGCUUGCAGAAUUUUGCCAGAUUUUUACUGCAAGCAGAAAUAUAAAUCUGGCUAAGCAUGUAGAAUGUUUUGGGUGGCUAUUCUGGACGAGGGUGCGAAUCCCUCCAUCUCCAC